GCAGCCUAGGAACGUGAUAUUUUCUAA
rnacentral:piRNA from 1 species